GUGAUGUGUGUGUGUGUGUGUGUAGUGUGUAUAAAGGAAUAUAUAUAUACACACACACAUACACACACAACAUACACACAUA
rnacentral:miRNA from 1 species